rnacentral:rRNA from 1 species
GACAGAGGUCCCGAGCGUUAGGCGGAAUCACUGGGCUUAAAGCGUGUGUAGGCGGACUUCUAAGUACCUUGUGAAAUCCCACGGCUUAACCGUGGAACUGCUUGGUAUACUGGUUGUCUUGGGCCACUUAGGGGCUACCGGAACAAACGGUGGAGCGGUGAAAUGCGUAGAUAUCGUUUGGAACGCCAAUGGUGAAAAACAGGUAGCUGGGAGUGUGCCGACGCUGAGACACGAAAGCCAGGGGAGCGAACGGG